rnacentral:rRNA from 1 species
UGAGUAACACGUAUCCAACCUGCCGUCUACUCUUGGCCAGCCUUCUGAAAGGAAGAUUAAUCCAGGAUGGCAUCAUGAGUUCACAUGUCCGCAUGAUUAAAGGUAUUUUCCGGUAGACGAUGAGGAUGCGUUCCAUUAGAUAGUAGGCGGGGUAACGGCCCACCUAGUCAACGAUGGAUAGGGGUUCUGAGAGGAAGGUCCCCCACAUUGGAACUGAGACACGGUCCAA